rnacentral:rRNA from 1 species
CCCAGGUCAGGCGGGACUACCCGCUGAGUUUAAGCAUAUCAAUAAGGCGGGAGGAAAAAAA